rnacentral:rRNA from 1 species
CUAAACAAAUUUGCUAGGGCCCUGAGACUUCGAUGGUUAUGGUUUGAGUGGAAAGAUAAGAGCAAGCCAUGGAUUGGUAUGGGAGUGCUGUGCACGGAUGACGACCAUCAUUUCUUUGCGGCGGCCACUAUAGUCACUGUUGGAAAUGGAAGGACAACAAGGUUCUGGAAUUCAUCUUGGCUAGGAGGAGUGUGCCCUUGUGACAUCGCUCCCGGUCUCUACGAUCUCUCUCGCAAGAAAAACUCCUCGGCUCAGCAAGCUAUGGCCAACAAUCAAUGGAUUGCGAAUAUUGACACCUCCAAUGGCCUCUCCCUUGAACACAUCCAACAGUUUGCUAACCUUUGGGGUAAACUAGCAACGGUGGCACUCGAUGACGACGUUGAAGACUCAAUUAUAUGGAAGUUCACCAAAGAUGGGAUAGAUUAUGCAUCCUCUGCUUACAAGGCUCAAUUUGAAGGCGUCACCAUCUCGGACCUUGUCCAUUCAGUGUGGACGAUGUGGGCGCCCCCUCGGUGCAAGUUCUUUGCUUGGCUCGUUCUUCAAGAUAGGAUUUGGAUUUCGGACCGCUUGAGCCGCCGUGGUUGGCCUAAUUGCGGUCUAUGCCCUCUUUGUAGGCAAACCCAAGAAACCGCGGCUUGUCUACUCUUCCAGUGCCGCUACACCAUGGCGCAUUUGGAAUGA